GGGCCACUAAUUACUACCUGGGGACUCCCCAGCAAGGAAGCUCAAAAAAGAACACAAAGUACUAUCUCAUAGACAACUUCAGUUCAGAAGAAGGAUGGAAACUUACAACCCCAGAUGACACUCAAGAGAGUGGAAGGGGAACGUCAGAGGCAACGGAUAAAUGACAAUUUGCAAGGUGCAAUCCCUAUGCAUUGAAUUAUGGUCAUCAAGCAGGAAACUUAGUCCUUAUUAAAGGUGCUACUCAACAAGCAGUCCAGCAGACAGAAAGGUCUCAGGGACUGGAAGAAGGAGGUCAUGAAAGCAGCUAUGAACAGCCAGCAGGCAAAGAAGAAAAUGGUUUGUGAAACAGUGCUACAUUCAUAUUUUCUAAAGUGGGUUUAUGUGAGAGGUGUUUUUCUUUUCUCUAAUGAGAAGCUGGAUGAUGGUUGGUACCCUUUUUUUUUUUUUAAGUAAAAAUACUGCUCUUCCUGGCACUGAUAUAGAAAAAGAAUAACCAACCAUUGGCAAAUGUAACUGGAGGGUUUUGUACAGCGGGACUAAAUUGAGGCCUUGUCAUUCAGUUUUGAGUAAAAUAGUCGACUCUAUGAUCAUGAAAAUAUAAAAAGGAGAAA